rnacentral:misc_RNA from 1 species
GGUGAUGGUCAAGUAACAUUGGAAGAUCUUGAGAUUGCUAUGAAAAAAAGGAAAUUGCCACCGAGAUAUGCUCGGGAAUUUAUGCAGCGUGCUAGAAGUCACUUGUUUUCAAAAUCAUUCGGUUGGAAACAGUUUCUGUCCUUGAUGGAGCAGAAGGAACCGACCAUUCUCCGUGCUUAUACUUCCCUCUGUUUAAACAAGUCUGGGACCCUUAAAAAGAGUGAAAUAUUAGCAUCGCUUAAAAAUGCUGGACUUCCAGCAAAUGAAGACAAUGCUUUUGCAAUGAUGCGAUUUCUAAAUGCUGACACAGAAGAAUCUAUUUCUUA